CUGGCGGCGUGCCUAAUACAUGCAAGUCGAGCGAACGGACGAGAAGCUUGCUUCUCUGAUGUUAGCGGCGGACGGGUGAGUAACACGUGGAUAACCUACCUAUAAGACUGGGAUAACUUCGGGAAACCGGAGCUAAUACCGGAUAAUAUUUUGAACCGCAUGGUUCAAAAGUGAAAGGCGGUCUUGCUGUCACUUAUAGAUGGAUCCGCGCUGCAUUAGCUAGUUGGUAAGGUAACGGCUUACCAAGGCAACGAUGCAUAGCCGACCUGAGAGGGUGAUCGGCCACAUUGGAACUGAGACACGGUCCAGACUCCUACGGGAGGCAACAGUAGGGAAUCUUCCGCAAUGGGCGAAAGCCUGACGGAGCAACGCCGCGUGAGUGAUGAAGGUCUUCGGAUCGUAAAACUCUGUUAUUAGGGAAGAACAUAUGUGUAAGUAACUGUGCACAUCUUGACGGUACCUAAUCAGAAAGCCACGGCUAACUACGUGCCAGCAGCCGCGGUAAUACGUAGGUGGCAAGCGUUAUCCGGAAUUAUUGGGCGUAAAGCGCGCGUAGGCGGUUUUUUAAGUCUGAUGUGGAAGCCCACGGCUCAACCGUGGAGGGUCAUUGGAAACUGGAAAACUUGAGUGCAGAAGAGGAAAGUGGAAUUCCAUGUGUAGCGGUGAAAUGCGCAGAGAUAUGGAGGAACACCAGUGGCGAAGGCGACUUUCUGGUCUGUAACUGACGCUGAUGUGCGAAAGCG
rnacentral:rRNA from 1 species